ACGGAAGGCAGCAGUGAGGAAUAUUGGUCAAUGGGCGGAAGCCUGAACCAGCCAAGUCGCGUGAAGGAAGAAGGUAUUAUGUAUUGUAAACUUCUUUAGCAGCAGAGAAAUAAGGGAGUCGUGACUCCUGAUGCCAGUAUGCUGAGAAUAAGCAUCGGCUAACUCCGUGCCAGCAGCCGCGGUAAUACGGAGGAUGCGAGCGUUAUCCGGAUUUAUUGGGUUUAAAGGGUGCGCAGGCGGUCUUUUAAGUCAGUGGUCAAAUCGUGGUGCUCAACGCCAUCCCGCCAUUGAUACUGGGAGACUUGAUUGCGGUUGAGGUAGGCGGAAUUCGUCGUGUAGCGGUGAAAUGCAUAGAUAUGACGAAGAACACCGAUUGCGUAGGCAGCUUACCAAGCCGUAAAUGACGCUCAUGCACGAAAGUGCGGGGAUCGAACAGGAUUAGAUACCCUGGUA
rnacentral:rRNA from 1 species